rnacentral:lncRNA from 10 species
GCAAAAGCUGAAGCUGGAGCAACAGUCUCAGAAUAUGACAACAACCAUGAGAAUGGAGGCCAUUCAUAGCAGAACUACGAGACAAGAGGAGCCUAGGUCCCUGAGCUGCAGAACUGCAUACUAACCUGAUGAGAAGACUAAUGCUCAGUGAGGUGAACUCCUUCAGGGCCACAGGCUGUAAAGAUCUAAACACCAUCUGAUCCAGUUUCAAUAUGACUGCCUGGAUGAAGAAGGAUUUGAGACUAAGUUUAUUCCUCCAAAGCAAACCAACUGAGAAUGCAGUUUUCAAUGCAACCCAUCAUCAAAGGGAAGGAGUUGAUGAAAAGAAAUGAAAUUGAAACGUGCACCUGGGGAGAAGUGAUUGAAGGUUCUUCAUUUAAGGGAUUGGCUCCUUUUCUCUUAUUAUACUGUGAAAUCUGAAAACAUCUCUUGAAAUUCUGGUCACUGUCUUCUGGACAUCCCAAGGCGCACCAUCUCCACAGUUCCUCCCUCCUAGAUUAUCCCAUCCAGUGUGGCAUCCAGUGUGGCAAAUGGAAAGACUCUUCCAGUGGGCAACUGAAAAGGACACC